GCCUCUGUGGUGCAAUUGGUUAGCAUGUUCCGCUGUUAACCAAAAGGUUGGUGGUUCGAGCCCACCCAGGGACA
rnacentral:tRNA from 2 species